rnacentral:rRNA from 1 species
CGGCGGACGGGUGAGUAAUGUAUGGGGAUCUGCCCGAUGGAGGGGGAUAACUACUGGAAACGGUAGCUAAUACCGCAUAACGUCGCAAGACCAAAGAGGGGGACCUUCGGGCCUCUUGCCAUCGGAUGUGCCCAGAUGGGAUUAGCUAAUAGGUGGGGUAACGGCUCACCUAGGCGACGAUCCCUAGCUGGUCUGAGAGGAUGACCAGCCACACUGGAACUGAGACACGGUCCAG